GCCAGCAUGGUGUAGGGGUUUGAGCAAUGGAUUACAACUCUGGAGACCAGGGUUCAAAUCCCUGCUCAGUCA